GCCAGCUUGGGGUAGUUGGUUGAAGGCUGGACUAUGACUCUGGAGACCGGGGUUCAAAUUCCAGCCUGGGCA